AGAAAAUUGAUUUUGGUCUCAGCCUUUUUUUUCUCAUACAUGUCACUGAUGCAUUUCCAACCCUUGGAGAAUUGGUGAAUGUGGGAAUACAGGCUCUAAUACAAAACACUUGGCCUGUUUUCAGUUCCUAACACAUACUCCAGAGUUCAUGUUAUGGUUAUCAGAAAGAAUCUAUGAAAAAUGAAGCUGCGCACAACUGCAGACCAUCAGCAUGGCUUAACCUUGUCAAGUGGGGAUGAAACAGGAAGUGCUUUGUGACACUGACUGGCAGAAAUACAAACUGAUGAAGAAAACACGCUGCAGGAAAGAGGAUCUGAGACGGUCUCUGCUAAAGGCUAUGAUCUUGUCCGGCACGUCUCGGGAGGAGUUAAGCAGUCAUGGGAGUGAUGCUUCAAUUAUCAAGGACUCGGUUUAAAUCCUGAAACUUCUAGGUAAUUAAAUACUCUCUUGAACCCUUCCAGUUCUACUUACCAGUUUGACCUUACGAUCUUAGGCUAUGCCUGAACUUGGGUAACGUGGCUGGUGUAGUAGUAGUGCAGUCUAUUCCUGCGAGUGGGGCACCAUGCAGCACACAUCUCUAUUCCAG
ensembl:lncRNA